rnacentral:rRNA from 1 species
GACGAACGCUGGCGGCGUGCUUAACACAUGCAAGUCGAACGGAAAGGCCUGCUUUCCCUUGUGGAUUGCGGGUACUCGAGUGGCGAACGGGUGAGUAUCACGUGAGUGAUCUGCCCCCAACUUGGGUAUAAGCCUGGGAAACUGGGUCUAAUUCCCGAUAGGACUGCAGGGUGGUGCCUGUGGUGGAAAACGAUUUUCUAGUGGUUGGGGAUGAGCUCGCGGCCUAUCAGCUUGUUGGUGGGGUAAUGGCCUACCAAGGCGGCGACGGGUAGCCGGCCUGAGAGGGUGGACGGCCACAUUGGGACUGAGAUACGGCCCAGACUCCUACGGGAGGCAGCAGUGGGGAAUAUUACACAAUGGGCGGAAGCCUGAUGCAGCGACGCCGCGUGGGGGAUGACGGCCUUCGGGUUGUAAACUCCUUUCGACCGCGAGGAAGCCACCUGGUUGGAAGGGUGGUGACGGUAGUGGUAGAAGAAGCACCGGCUAACUACGUG